UAGAUACCCUAUUAUUUGAAAUGUAAUUUAUUUACUAAAGUAGUAAUAGUUAUGUUCUUGAAACUUAAAAAAUUUGGCGGUAUUUUAGUCUAUUCAGAGGAACCUGUCCUGUAAUCGAUAAUCCACGUUGGACCUCACUUAAGUUUGUAAUCAGUUUGUAUACCGUCGUUAUAAGAAUAUUUUAUAAGAAUAAUAAUUUUCUAGUUUUUUUAUAAAAAGUUAUAUCAGAUCAAGGUGCAGCUUAUAUUUAAGUAGAGAUGGGUUACAAUAAUUGUAUUUAUAUGGAUUAAUUUUUGAAAUAAAAUUAUGAAAGUGGAUUUGAAUGUAAAAUUAUAAAGAUUAAUAAUUUGAUUUUAGCU
rnacentral:rRNA from 1 species